GACAGAGGGUGCAAACGUUGUUCGGAAUGACUGGGCGUAAAGCGCGUGUAGGCGGCUCGGCAAGUCGGGUGUGAAAGCCCUGGGCUCAACCCAGGAAGUGCACUCGAAACUGCCGAGCUUGAGUUCUGGAGAGGAAGGCGGAAUUCUCGGUGUAGAGGUGAAAUUCGUAGAUAUCGAGAGGAACACCGGUGGCGAAGGCGGCCUUCUGGACAGCGACUGACGCUGAGACGCGAAAGCGUGGGGAGCAAACAGG
rnacentral:rRNA from 1 species